rnacentral:rRNA from 1 species
GAUGAACGCUGGCGGCGUGCCUAAUACAUGCCAGUCGAGCGAACAGACGAGGAGCUUGCUCCUCUGACGUUAGCGGCGGACGGGUGAGUAACACGUGGAUAACCUACCUAUAAGACUGGGAUAACUUCGGGAAACCGGAGCUAAUACCGGAUAAUAUAUUGAACCGCAUGGUUCAAUAGUGAAAGACGGUUUUGCUGUCACUUAUAGAUGGAUCCGCGCCGCAUUAGCUAGUUGGUAAGGUAACGGCUUACCAAGGCAACGAUGCGUAGCCGACCUGAGAGGGUGAUCGGCCACACUGGAACUGAGACACGGUCCAGACUCCUACGGGAGGCAGCAGUAGGGAAUCUUCCGCAAUGGGCGAAAGCCUGACGGAGCAACGCCGCGUGAGUGAUGAAGGUCUUCGGAUCGUAAAACUCUGUUAUUAGGGAAGAACAAAUGUGUAAGUAACUAUGCACGUCUUGACGGUACCUAAUCAGAAAGCCACGGGUAACUACGUG